UAGGGAAUCCUCCACAAUGGGCGAAAGCCUGAUGGAGCAACGCCGCGUGUGUGAUGAAGGGUUUCGGCUCGUAAAACACUGUUGUAAGAGAAGAAUGACAUUGAGAGUAACUGUUCAAUGUGUGACGGUAUCUUACCAGAAAGGAACGGCUAAAUACGUGCCG
rnacentral:rRNA from 1 species